rnacentral:rRNA from 1 species
GCAUAACGCGAAGAACCUUACCCACCUUUGACAUGUACGGAAUCCUUUAGAGAUAGAGGAGUGCUCGAAAGAGAGCCGUAACACAGGUGCUGCAUGGCUGUCGUCAGCUCGUGUCGUGAGAUGUUGGGUUAAGUCCCGCAACGAGCGCAACCCUUGCCAUUAGUUGCUACGAAAGGGCACUCUAAUGGGACUGCCGGUGACAAACCGGAGGAAGGUGGGGAUGACGUCAAGUCCUCAUGGCCCUUAUAGGUGGGGCUACACACGUCAUACAAUGGCUGGUACAGAGGGUUGCCAACCCGCGAGGGGGAGCCAAUCCCACAAAGCCAGUCGUAGUCCGGAUCGCAGUCUGCAACUCGACUGCGUGAAGUCGGAAUCGCUAGUAAUCGCGGAUCAGAAUGUCGCGGUGAAUACGUUCCCGGGUCUUGUACACACCG